CUCCCCAUAGUUUAAUGGAUAAAACGUAAGUUUCCUAAACUUUUGAUAUAGGUUCGAUUCCUGUUGGGGAGA
rnacentral:tRNA from 1 species